GACGAACGCUGGCGGCGUGCCUAAUACAUGCAAGUCGAGCGAGGCGGCGGAUGGGUGAGACACGCGUGGGUAACCUGCCCUUGAGUCUGGGAUAAUGUUUGGAAACAGAUGCUAAUACCGGAUACUAAAGGAUGGACCGGCGAUGCAUUAGCUAGUUGGUAAGGUAACGGCUUACCAAGGCGAUGAUGCAUAGCCGACUUGAGAGGCUGAUCGGCCACAUUGGGACUGAGACACGGCCCAAACUCCUACGGGAGGCAGCAGUAGGGAAUCUUCCACAAUGGACGAAAGUCUGAUGGAGCAACGCCGCGUGAGUGAAGAAGGUUUUCGGAUCGUAAAGCUCUGUUGUUGGUGAAGCGGUAAUCAACCAGAAAGUCACGGCUAACUACGUGCCAGCAGCCGCGGUAAUAC
rnacentral:rRNA from 1 species